UACGAAGGUAGCUAGCGUUGUUCGGAAUCACUGGGCGUAAAGCGCACGUAGGCGGCUUUGUCAGUCAGGGGUGAAAUCCCGGGGCUCAACCUCGGAACUGCCUUUGAUACAGCAAGUCCUGAGUUCGAGAGAGGUGGGUGGAAUUCCUAGUGUAGAGGUGAAAUUCGUAGAUAUUAGGAAGAACACCGGUGGCGAAGGCGGCCCACUGGCUCGAUACUGACGCUGAGGAGCGAAAGCGUGGGGAGCGAACAGG
rnacentral:rRNA from 1 species